CCCGUCUCGCACAGGAACAGUCCUGGGGAGGCUCCUUCCCUGCCUAUACAGCUGCUGCCCCCUCCCCCCACCCGGGGUGUAGGAUCGGGGAUCUAUAGCUCUAUGGAUGUGUGUAUAUAUGUAUAGUACAGCUGUGGUGUGAGCUUAUUGCAGGGAGCACAGAAAUCGGGGCACAGGGAGUGACAUACUGUAUCUGCCCCAUGCACUGUGUGACAGGAGAAACCGGUAUCUACUUCUCCCGUGAACAGAGCGUAGACGUGCACUGGGAGGACUAUCAACAUGCACUGGGGAAUCAGCUAUCCAGGCUGCUGGCGGCUGCUUAUUAACUGAAGAAUUCCACUAUGUGUUCAAGUGCAGAAUAAUUCUAUUCCAAGGUAGUAUAAAUGCAUCAUAUCAGGAUCGUAACCCAGGCUGCAAGCCAAGGGGACGGUACAGUGGCUGCAUGGAGAGGCACCAGUUUCCUGCUUCUGGCCUCCCCCUCUGCGACACUAUCAUGUCACAUAUGCUGAGAGAGUCGAAGGCCGACCCAGGACGCUGAAGUUCCCUACUCCGGUGCUGAAUUGUAUGUCUCUAUAGACCAGACUUUUGGAAGUCAUAAGGGGUGUGGCCUCCCUGGAAAAAGCUGCGAUAGGCAGAUUGGAGACCUGUUAUAGUUAGUCCAGAUCAGGACUGUUGUGAAGGAUGAUGCAUCUUCCCACCGACAAUAAAUCCGCACUAUGGACCUGUGCUUGUUGAUCAUUUCUUUGCGAAGCCAUGAAGUAUCCAUUCCAAUGUCCCUUCAUCAAAUUUUCCAGGAACUGACUCCAAAUGACAAAACCCAAUAAACUCAAAGCAUUUCCACAA